AUCAAUAAGCGGAGGAAAAGCAACUAACCAGGAUUCCCCCAGUAACGGCGAGCGAAGCGGGAACAGCUCGAGCAGGCAAUCUCUGGUGUCGAUCGCCAGCGAAUUGUGGCCGGCAGAGGCGGGUGCACCUGACGCGAUUCCGUCGAAGUUGACCUGGAAAGGCACGUCGAAGAGGGUGAUAACCCCGUGCGUGGCGGAGUCGCCGAAGGCCGCUACCGUCUUCGGAGAGUCGGGUUGUUUGGGAGUGCAGCCCAAAGUGGGUGGUAAACUCCAUCUAAAGCCAAAUAACGGCACGAGACCGAUAGCGAACAAGUACCAUGAGGGAAAGGUGAAAAGCACUUUGGAAAGAGAGUUAAAGAGGCCGCGAAA
rnacentral:rRNA from 1 species